rnacentral:rRNA from 1 species
AGCUCUCAAUCUGUAAACAUGGACUAGGAGUCCUUGGAGCAUAUUUUGUGAGGAUACUAUGCUGGCAUUAAGUUGUUGGGUGUAGAGGCUUGCAUCGUUUACUGUGAAAAAAUUAGAGUGUUUCAAGCAGGCGUUUGCUUUUUGAAUACAUUAGCAUGGAAUAAUAGGAUAUGACUCGCGUGGUCUAUUUUGUUGGUUUGCACACGCAAGUAAUGAUUAAUAGGGACAGUUGGGGGUAUUCAUAUUUGAGCGUCAGAGGUGAAAUUCUUGGAUCGCUGAAAGAUGAGCUUAGGCGAAAGCAUUUAUCAUGGAUGUUUUCAUUAAUCAAGAACGAAAGUUAGGGGAUCGAAGAUGAUUAGAUACCAUCGUAGUCUUAACCAUA